GUGCCAGCAGCCGCGGUAAAACGUAGGAGGCGAGCGUUAUCCGGAUUUACUGGGUGUAAAGCGCGAGCAGGCGGUCGGGUAAGUGGUGUGUGAAAGCGCUUGGCUCAACCAGGCGAGGACAUGCCAAACUGCCGGACUGGAGGUAGGUAGAGGCGAGUGGAAUUCCGGGUGUAGUGGUGAAAUGCGUAGAGAUCCGGAGGAACACCAGUGGCGAAGGCGACUCGCUGGGCCUGACCUGACGCUCAGACGCGAAAGCAUGGGGAGCGAACGGGAUUAGAAACCCGUGUAGUCC
rnacentral:rRNA from 1 species